CGUUAAUCAGUUAAGCUAAGGUUAGCAUACUAUUUUUUUUUUUUUUUACUCAGCAGCAGAUAUGAGUAUCCAGAGAUACUUCAAAAAAAUGAGGAAGGAGAACGAGGAAGGGACAACACCACCACAGAUUCCAAGCAUCGCAGCUCUGGGAGGAACCCUGACUGGCUAAAAAUUCCUCAUUUUAAGAACUGGCUCUACCUCACCCAGCAUGGAAUGUUUUGCAGAAUCUGCAGGAAACACAAGCCUCCAAUAAAGAAAGGCCCUUUAAAACGCACUUUUACAGAGAUCGGGGCUCUUGUAUUUUGUAAAGAUUAUGUGGAACGUCACAUCGCGUCAGAUCCUCAUCAGUAUAGUGUUCAGAAAGAGGCUGCACUUGCGUCAGGUAUAUCAUUUUAAUAAUAUAAAUGUACUUAUUUGAAUAAUUUCUGCGACCUGUUAACCAUGUUUUGGCCAAUAUAAAGCAUUAUUUCUUUGCUCUUGGCCUAGGCUACUCAGUAAUGCAGGCUUUUGAGCCCACCAUUGUUAUUGAGCAUGAGGCCAUCAUAGGGGCGUUCAAAUGUCUUUACUGGCUAAUAAAGAAUGAGAUUGCUCACCACACCAACUACGCUAAGCUGUUAAGUCUAGCUUAGCUUUUGGGUUGCGAUUACUUUGAAAAACUGAAGGUAAACUUAUUACAAAAUAAUAAGCUGAGUAACUUUAGCCACAUAAAAAUUAUAUUGACCUCCUUUUUUAGGUGGAUCAAAGAAACAAUUACCAAUCACACAGAAUAGUGAAUGAAAUGUUGGGGAUCCUUGUACAGGUAGUAGAGCUGCCCAUUAUUGAAGAGAUAAAGUCAUCUAAAGCAAUCAGCCUAGAGGUUGACGAAACAACAGAUGUUUCCACAAGUCGCCAGCUGGAUAUACAUGUUAGCAGGAACACUGGCUUGUCCAGGUUGGAAAGGAUAUGCUUCAUUGGGGGCCGACUUAAAAGAGUAUUUCUGAUCAGCUACAUCUAUCUGUAGUCUGCUGGAGAAGAUGAAAUCCAGGCCCAAGACUAUAAAGUAGGCCAAGGCUUUAGAGGUGAGAAUAACGACAUGCAUAGGGAAAACUUUGUUGUGAAGGGUGAUCUGUACAUUUGUCCAGCCUACAGGUACUUCUGCUUCACCAUUGGCCAGGUAGAGUGGACCAAGGGUCCAUGGAUAGAGGCUGUCAUGUGGUUUAAGCUCCUUCCAUAAGCUCUCAUGGAGAAGAGUGUAGCUUGCUUCCGUAUCUAUGAUGGCCUUUCCUGUCCAGGAUUCAAUAGUAAUGGGUACGACUAACUGUUGUGGCAGGAAGACACACUGGUUGGAAGCAGUGGGAGUGAACGUUUCAAACUUGUGGGUGGAUGCUGACCAGAAGGAUGCAUAGACUGAAGGGUGGAAUAGAGCGGACAGUUUCCAGGCGGGUGUAGUCCCUUACAUCUCCAACACUGGACUGGAGGUUUUUCAGCAGGUCGAUUAGAGCUGAAGGCCCAAUUUCACCAACUCAUCCACUGUGCUUACCCGACUACGGAGUUGACUUGCGAGCUCAUCUACAUAGUCUUCGGAAAGGAAAGCUGAAAGGAAAGCAGCUUCAAAUUCACUCCAGGAGGUAAUAGAAGUUCGAGCAACCUCCCACCAAUCACGAGCAGUGCCAUAAAGAACAGUGCGGAAGGUGGCCAGAAUAUCAAUGUCAUCUAAGGGGUGCAAGGCCAAGAAAUCCUGACAGCGUGUUAAGUAUAACAGUGGAUCAGAAUCAUCAGAUGAUCUUCCAAAGGUUGGAAAAGUUAGCUUUAAAUGGUCACUCUUAACAGCAGGUGACUGGUGCACUAGAGAUGGAGACACUGAUGGUGAAAAUGAAGAUGGAGCAGUUGGUGGAGGUACUGAUUCACCAGUUAGCUGAUCAGCCACUUCUUUUUUGGAUGAUUUGAAAUAAUUACCCAUUUCCAGUUGCAGGUCUUUGAAGUGGUUGCUCAAAGCAUUCAGUUGAGUCUUUAAUCCCUUUGGACAACUGUUGACAGUCCUUUUGAGAGCUGUCCUGUGCUGCUCGAAUGUCCUUCUGCAACUCAAGUUGAGCUUGUUCAAUCAUAAAACGAACUUCUGAAAUUAACUCCCUCGGGUCGGCGGUCACGCCGGCGUGACCACCGUGUUUUUUUUCUAACCAGUGUGAAAGAGACUCAAAAUACUCC